rnacentral:misc_RNA from 1 species
UCACCGUCUCAAGCUUGGCUUGUCGUUGGGCCCUCUGUCACCGGGUGACAGGUCCAAAAGAUAAUGACCGGUGUCAUACCGACGCUACAUGCAACGAGCUUAUCACAGCACGCAUUUGGCCGUCAUAUGGCCCGGUCCUCCCUAGAUAUACUCCGUAUAUAUAUUUCUCAAGG